rnacentral:rRNA from 1 species
UACGUAGGGUGCGAGCGUUGUCCGGAAUUACUGGGCGUAAAGAGCUCGUAGGUGGUUUGUCGCGUUGUUCGUGAAAACUCACAGCUUAACUGUGGGCGUGCGGGCGAUACGGGCAGACUGGAGUACUGCAGGGGAGACUGGAAUUCCUGGUGUAGCGGUGGAAUGCGCAGAUGUCAGGAGGAACACCGGUGGCGAAGGCGGGUCUCUGGGCAGUAACUGACGCUGAGGAGCGAAAGCGUGGGGAGCGAACAGG